rnacentral:tRNA from 1 species
GAGGGUAUAGCUCAGUGAUAGAGCAUGUGUGUAGCGUGCACAAGGUCCUAGGUUCAAUCCUCAGUACCUCCA